rnacentral:rRNA from 1 species
GACGUAGGGCGCGAGCGUUGUCCGGAUUUAUUGGGCGUAAAGAGCUCGUAGGCGGCUCGUUGCGUCGGCUGUGAAAACCCGCAGCUCAACUGUGGGCUUGCAGCCGAUACGGGCGGGCUGGGAUUCGGUAGGGGAGACUGGAAUUCCUGGUGUAGCGGUGAAAUGCGCAGAUAUCAGGAAGAACACCCGUGGCGAAAGCGGCUCUCUGGAACGGUACUGACGCUGAGACGCGAAAGCGUGGGGGAGCGAACAGG